rnacentral:rRNA from 2 species
CAAGGAAUUUUCCGCAAUGGGCGCAAGCCUGACGGAGCAACGCCGCGUGGGGGAAGAAGGCUUUCGAGUUGUAAACUCCUUUUGCGAGGGAAGAAGAUCUGACGGUACCUCGCGAAUAAGCCACGGCUAACUACGUGCCAGCAGCCGCGGUAAUACGUAGGUGGCAAGCGUUGUCCGGAUUCACUGGGCGUAAAGCGCGCGCAGGCGGGCUGAUAAGUCCCGGGUUAAAUUCCACGGCUCAACCGUGGGCGGCCCCGGGAUACUGUCAGUCUUGAGGCAUUCAGAGGAGAGUGGAAUUCCCGGUGUAGUGGUGGAAUGCGUAGAUAUCGGGAGGAACACCAGUGGCGAAAGCGGCUCUCUGGGGAUGUCCUGACGCUGAGGCGCGAAAGCGUGGGGAGCGAACCGG